UGGAACUGUUGGUGUGUAAAUGAUUCCUAUACCAUCAUCAGCUACCACAAAAACUUCCUUCGUAUCACAUGCCACACCAUCCAAACGCAUAUUUCAAUUUCAAUAAAUGUAACUAACUCAUGUCCUCGGUAAUUGAACGCUCUCCUCAAAACGAGUGCUUAGUGGUAGGCAGAGGUUGACCGCCGCCUUUGCAUAUGACCAGAAGCGAUAGCCACGUAUUAAGAUCAAGCGAAUUUGAAGAUAUGACCGGCCAAUUGCCAUUACGCGUUUGGCUAUGGCGCUUAAUCUCUGUCCGCCAAAACUUAUACUCAGAAAGGGACGGCUGCGUAACCUCGCAGGAGUGAAAGAGACGCACAAUAGAAACCGCUUCCGGUGUGGCGGCACGUAGACAUGUUUUUUUUUUUAAUUGUUGCUUUUUUGUAUUGCGGAAUAUUAAGUACAUUUGUAGGUGAACUACUUGUUUAUAAUAUACUAGCGACCCGCCCUCGCUUCGCUUCGGAAACAUUAAAACACACAUGAAACCAAUAAAAGAA